rnacentral:lncRNA from 1 species
UCAACAUUUUGCAUUCUAUUAUUGUAUCUUAUUCCUAUUAUUCAUAAUCAGUUUUCUCUUAUUAGUAUUACAUUAUUCUCAAUAGCUAGCAUGCAUUUCUGCACGCCUCCUUUGUUCUAUAACACCGUUUACUCCUACCACAGCACCAACAGAGAUUUUCUCUACACGUUAGGGGUCCAGCAUGGUAGCAAUGUUGUCCGAUAAGUUUCUCUUCACCUUGUUCAUCCAUGUCUCGGCCUGUGUUUGUCAAAGAUUCAGA